UCGGAAAGCGAGAGUAUAGAGAGCGGCGGACGGGUGAGUAACGCGCAGGUAACCUGCCCCAUACAGAGGGAUAGCCUCGGGAAACCGGGAUUAAAACCUCAUAACGCGAGAGAGUCACAUGGCUUUUUCGCCAAAGAUUUAUCGGUAUGGGAUGGGCCUGCGUCUGAUUAGCUAGUUGGUGGGGUAACGGCCUACCAAGGCGACGAUCAGUAGCCGACCUGAGAGGGUAAUCGGCCACAUUGGAACUGAGACACGGUCCAAACUCCUACGGGAGGCAGCAGUGGGGAAUAUUGCACAAUGGGCGAAAGCCUGAUGCAGCAACGCCGCGUGAGCGAUGAAGGCCUUUGGGUCGUAAAGCUCUGU
rnacentral:rRNA from 1 species